AUUGAACGCUGGCGGCAUGCUUUACACAUGCAAGUCGAACGGUAACAGGCCUUCGGGUGCUGACGAGUGGCGAACGGGUGAGUAAUGCAUCGGAACGUACCCAGAGGUGGGGGAUAACGCAGCGAAAGCUGUGCUAAUACCGCAUGUGAUCUGAGGAUGAAAGCGGGGGACCGAGCAGCAAUGUUUGGCCUCGCGCCUUUGGAGCGGCCGAUGUCGGAUUAGCUAGUUGGUGGGGUAAAGGCCUACCAAGGCGACGAUCCGUAGCUGGUCUGAGAGGACGACCAGCCACACUGGGACUGAGACACGGCCCAGACUCCUACGGGAGGCAGCAGUGGGGAAUUUUGGACAAUGGGCGCAAGCCUGAUCCAGCAAUGCCGCGUGCGGGAAGAAGGCCUUCGGGUUGUAAACCGCUUUUGGCAGGAACGAAACGGUGUCCGCUAAUACCGGGCGCUAAUGACGCUACCUGCAGAAUAAGCACCGGCUAACUACGUG
rnacentral:rRNA from 1 species